CGUAUCACCCAAGACAACUUUACGGAGUUGACGAUUGACGGAGCGAAGCGACGUCAAAGCGUUCAUUAAAGUCGAGUUGGCUUAGGGAUACGUUCGUUGGGUAGGGGAGCGUUCUGUAAGCCUGUGAAGGUGUGUCGUGAGGCAUGCUGGAGGUAUCAGAAGUGCGAAUGCUGACAUAAGUAACGAUAAAGCGGGUGAAAAGCCCGCUCGCCGGAAGACCAAGGGUUCCUGUCCAACGUUAAUCGGGGCAGGGUGAGUCGACCCCUAAGGCGAGGCCGAAAGGCGUAGUCGAUGGGAAACGGGUUAAUAUUCCCGUACUUGGUGUUACUGCGAAGGGGGGACGGAGAAGGCUAUGUUGGCCGGGCGACGGUUGUCCCGGUUUAAGCGUGUAGGUGUGUGUUCCAGGUAAAUCCGGUUCACUUUAACACUGAGGCGUGACGACGAGGCACUACGGUGCUGAAGCAACAAAUGCCCUGCUUCCAGGAAAAGCCUCUAAGCAUCAGGUAACAC
rnacentral:rRNA from 6 species